rnacentral:snoRNA from 1 species
GGCUAUGAUGUUUGCUUUCUGAACAAUCCAACACUGAACGGUGCCUGAGGAUCUUAUCUUGCACUGAAG